AUCUCGUAUGAGCUGUAGCUGACAGUGUUCCCAUCCUCCUUGGAUUUCGCCUUAAGAGCAACAAGCUGGUCUCGUGUUAAUUUGAAUAUAGAGACAGUGGUAUUCUCAGGUCCUGAUUUAGACGGAUCAAGAGGUAUCUUCAUACUUGGUGCAGGCUGAUAUUCAACAUGAUGAAAAGCAGGCUGUGGCGGGUCCCUAGCUCGGAGGAGUGUUCGAUCAAUGAAAGGUGGAAU
rnacentral:lncRNA from 1 species